CUGGGGGAGAAGAAAGGGCCAGGCCGGUGUUAGGUUCUAGAACAGUGGGUCUGGCAAAAGGCCCAAGGGUGAACUGUGGGUUUAAAAAUAAAAAUGAAACUGGUCUAGAAGUUCCUCAUUAUUUCCCCUCAGGCCCUAACAGUAAAGUCACUCCCCUCCAUGAGUCAGGCUGAGAAAUGCUGAUACUGUGAUAACACAUCACCUCUACUCAGAGAAUCCUCCCUGCGAGGCAGGAUUCCUGGGGCUCAGACACACCCCGGCUGGCGAGGUGUCUGCUCCUCCUUGUUCCCAUGAUGCCCCAGAGGAGCCAAGGCCAAGAGGAGCCAAGCCCAGAGCAGAAAUUAGCCGGGCGUGGUGACACGUGCCUGUGAUUCCAGCUACUUGGGCGGCUGACACACAAGAAUCACUUGUACCCAGAGGGCGGAGGUUGCAAUGAGUCAAGAUCACGCCACUGCACUCCAGCCUGGACAACAGAGCAAGAAUGUCUCAAAAUGAAUAAAUAAAUAAAUAAAUAAAUAAAUAAGCAAGCAAAAUACUGGAG
rnacentral:lncRNA from 10 species